CAGCUACUCCCUCCGAUCCUAAAUUGUUGUUGAAAUAUUACAUGUAUCUCAAAUUUUUUUAAGAAUAGAUACAUGCAUAUUUGGACAAAUUUGAGACAAGAAUUUAGGAUCGGAAGGAGUAGUAU
rfam:Brachypodium distachyon strain Bd21 chromosome 2, whole genome shotgun sequence.